AUAUAAGAAUUAAUGUAAUAUACAAUACAAACACACACAAAAUAUAACAUAAAUUUGAAUAAAUGAUUUCUACUAAAGGUUCUUAAAAUUGUUUCUACAGCAUUGAAUAAGAUAAAGAAAAAAUAUAAUAUAGUCGCUUAAAGUUCCCUUCUUUAUCUUCUAGAGUUUCAUAUUUUUACCAUGGUACAUAGAAUUUAUUUUAUAUCGCGGUAUUACGUCGAUACAUAUAGGCGGAUUUUCAAAUCGAAUUUAAAAGUAGCGCUAAGAGAAGGAAACUGCUCGAAAUGGAAGCUGCUUUUAAGGGAAUCGACCAUUGGGAAGGCUUGCUAAAUAUCGUAUGACUCGGCGGUUCGUGCGAUGGCGCCAUCUUAAGGAUUCGAGCAAUUCCGUGAAGAAUCGGCAAUCUCCGGCCGAUGAUUGCCGAACGCACAUUACUAUUUUCAGGCACACAAGGCACCUCUUGACGGGUUUUUAAUAAGGAGAGAGAGAGAGAGGGCGAAACUGUCUCUCGUGCGAUAGAGGGGAAAACGUUUUUCCUUUUUUUUCGUUCCUUGUCAUUGAAGAUCUACCGUACGGAUUACAAGGGUUGAAAAAUCAUAGUCGUCCGUGCCGUGAGCGCGUUCGAGAAGCCGAAAAGAAAGAGAAAGAGAGAGCGCGAGCGAGCAACGAGCCAGCAAGCGAGAAAACGAGAAAGAGAGAGAGAGAGAGAAACAGAGAGAGUGGGAGGGAAAGAGAGAGAGAGAGAGAGCGAUAAAGGAAAAGAUGCUCGAUCGUCGUCGGGUCUCGUCGGUUCUCGACGCCUGACGAGGUCGUGCUCAUCGUCUCUACAUCGUUCGUCGGCGAAAAUGAAAGAAGCUCGUCGUCUCUACGAGCAGCUGAUGGCGGCCGAGCGCCGUUCGAGCCUCCUCCGACGUUUCUCGUGUACGCGUUCCUAGUGUGUGAAUGCGUAUUCAAUAUCCUGAAUUCGCGGAGGAAAGUGCCGAGAAUAAAAAAGAGAGAGAGAGAGAUAGAGACGACGCGUGCCGAACGGAAGAUUUAAAAAUACGUUCUGUGUUAAACCGCAUACGUGUGCCGCCUAUGAUUUAGAAACAAAAAGAGAGAAAGAUAGAGAAGACGAGGAAAGAAAGAAAGAGAGAGAGAGAAAUAGAGAAAUAGAUAAAGAUAGAGAUAGAGAGGGGAAUAGCAAGAGAGAGAGGGAGAAGAAAAGAGAGACGCUUUUCGUGCGGGACAGAGACCGCCCCUGGCUCGCGCGAGCUAUUUCGUAACGGUGCUUCGUAGAGUCAGUCGACAAGCAAGCACGACUGCGCGGUGGAAACCUCGACAUAUAGGAGAGGCAGGGCGUACGUCCGCGUGUGACAACGCCUAACGAGAGAGAGAAAGAGAAAGAAAGAGAAAAACGAGAGCCUCUUCUCGGGACGAGAGAAAGAGAGAAAGAGAGAGAGAGAAUACGACGGACGACGACGACGACGACGACGACGACGCACGACGAUACCGACGAAUCGCCAGCGGUGAGCGAGAGGGAGACCGAAAA
rnacentral:lncRNA from 1 species